rnacentral:rRNA from 1 species
AUUGAACGCUGGCGGCAGGCCUAACACAUGCAAGUCGAGCGGAGCGGCGGACGGGUGAGUAAUGCCUAGGAAUCUGCCUGGUAGCGGGGGAUCACGUCCGGAAAUGGGCGCUAAUACCGCAUACUCUCAGAUGAGCUUAGGUCGGAUUGGCUAGUAGGUGGGGUAACGGCUAACCUAGGCGACGAUCACUAGCUGGUCUGAGAGGAUGACCAGCCACACGGGAACUGAGACACGGUCCAGACUCCUACGGUAGGCAGCAAUGGGGAAUAUUGCACAAUGGGCGCAAGCCUGAUGCAGCCAUGCCGCGUGUGUGAAGAAGGCCUUCGGGUUGUAAAGCACUUUCAGCGGGGAGGCGUUACCGGCAGAAGAAGCACCGGCUAACUCCGUGCCAGCCGCCGCGGUAAUAC